UUAAAAAUAAAUCAGAAAUGGGGUAAUUAAUAAGAACGGGCUUCUUUUCCUUCCUCCUCUCUUCUCUCUCUCUAUCGCGAAUCUCUCGAAGUCGGAAGAGAUUAGUUGCAAUCGGAGGAGAUUGAUUCGAUCUUUGAGGUUAUCCGGCUGUUUGACCCUCGUUACAUCUUCAUCUACACCGACGCCGAGUCUCAACGGCAAAAAAAAUUGAAAGAGAAUCAUCUCGAUCCGGUGGCGGUGACGCCGAAGGAGAAGAGUAGAGAGGUUGAGAGGUAGAAGAUAAGCUUUGGAGGAUUGUUUAUCAAACAGAUGCUGUUAUAGGGAUAGGCAUCACAGCUACAACCUUUGGAGUUACUUAAUAAACGUUUAUCUUUUUUACAAAAUUUAAAUUUCAUAAAAUAAGAGCUCCAUUAGGAUUCUACCAUUGGAGUAGAGAAAACUUAAUAACCCUUUUUCAAGUUUUGAAGUUUGAUAAAAGCAAAAUUUAUUCUUUAAAAAUUGUUAAAACCCCAUGAGGGGUUUUAACCGUUGGAGAA